CCUACGGGAGGCAGCAGUGAGGAAUAUUGGUCAAUGGACGAGAGUCUGAACCAGCCAAGUAGCGUGAAGGAUGACUGCCCUAUGGGUUGUAAACUUCUUUUAUAUGGGAAUAAAACGUUCCACGUGUGGGAUUUUGUAUGUACCAUAUGAAUAAGGAUCGGCUAACUCCGUGCCAGCAGCCGCGGUAAUACGGAGGAUCCGAGCGUUAUCCGGAUUUAUUGGGUUUAAAGGGAGCGUAGGUGGAUUGUUAAGUCAGUUGUGAAAGUUUGCGGCUCAACCGUAAAAUUGCAGUUGAAACUGGCAGUCUUGAGUACAGUAGAGGUGGGCGGAAUUCGUGGGGUAGCGGUGAAAUGCUUAGAUAUCACGAAGAACUCCGAUUGCGAAGGCAGUUCACUGGACUGCAACUGACACUGAGGCUCGAAAGUGUGGGUAUCAAACAGGAUUAGAUACCCCGGUAGUC
rnacentral:rRNA from 1 species